AAGUCGUAACAAGGUUUCCGUAGGUGAACCUGCGGAAGGAUCAUUAGUGAGGCUUAGGCCGAACCUAUACACCAAACCUCUGUGAACCAUGGCCCUCGGGCCCUACAAACAUCAGUGAAUGAACGUGGAGCAUUAAAAAGAACAUAACUUUCAACAACGGAUCUCUUGGCUCUC
rnacentral:misc_RNA from 1 species